rnacentral:tRNA from 1 species
UGAAAGGGCUCAGUUGGUAGAGUGCUUGCCUUGCAUGCACAAGGCCCUGGGUUCGAUCCCCAGCAA